rnacentral:rRNA from 1 species
GCAUAUCAAUAAGCGGAGGAAAAGAAACCAACAGGGAUUGCCCUAGUAACGGCGAAGUGAAGCGGCAACAGCUCAAAUUUGAAAUCUGGCUCCGGCCCGAGUUGUAAUUUGCAGAGGAAGCUUCUGGUGAUGUACCGUCUAAGUCCCCUGGAACGGGGCGCCACAGUGGGUGAGAGCCCCAUUUGACGGAUGCAGAUCCUGUGUGAAGCUCCUUCGACGAGUCGAGUAGUUUGGGAAUGCUGCUCAAAAUGGGAGGUAAAUUCCUUCUAAAGCUAAAUAUUGGCCAGAGACCGAUAGCGCACAAGUAGAGUGAUCGAAAGAUGAAAAGCACUUUGAAAAGAGGGUUAAACAGCACGUGAAAUUGUUGAAAGGGAAGCGCUUGUGACCAGACUUGCGCUGGGCUGAUCAUCCGGUGUUCUCACCGGUGCACUCGGCCCAGCUCAGGCCAGCAUCGGUUUUGGUGGGGGGAUAAAGGCGCCGGGAACGUAGCUCCUUCUGGAGUGUUAUAGCCCAGCGUGCAAUGCCCCCGCUGGGACCGAGGUUCGCGCAUCUGCAAGGAUGCUGGCGUAAUGGUCAUCAGCGACCCGUCUUGAAACACGGACCAAGGAGUCAAGGUUUUGCGCGAGUGUUUGGGUGUCAAACCCGCACGCGUAAUGAAAGUGAACGUAGGUGAGAGCUUCGGCGCAUCAUCGACCGAUCCUGAUGUAUUCGGAUGGAUUUGAGUAGGAGCGUUAAGCCUUGGACCCGAAAGAUGGUGAACUAUGCUUGGAUAGGGUGAAGCCAGAGGAAACUCUGGUGGAGGCUCGCAGCGGUUCUGACGUGCAAAUCGAUCGUCAAAUCUGAGCAUGGGGGGCGAAAGACUAAUCGAACCAUCUAGUAGCUGGUUACCGCCGAAG